UACGUAGGGUGCAAGCGUUGUCCGGAAUUAUUGGGCGUAAAGAGCUCGUAGGCGGUCUGUCACGUCGGCUGUGAAAACCCGGGGCUCAGCCCCGGGCCUGCAGUCGAUACGGGCAGACUAGAGGGCGGUAGGGGAGACUGGAAUUCCUGGUGUAGCGGUGAAAUGCGUAGAUAUCGGGAGGAACACCAGUGGCGAAGGCGACUAUCUGGGCUGCAACUGACGCUGAGGCGCGAAGGCUAGGGUAGCAAACAGG
rnacentral:rRNA from 1 species